AUUUUCUACGGAAAAAUUGAAGCGGAUUUGCACAGUUACAUAUUAUACAUACAUAUGUACGUAUGUAUGUAUAUGUAUCUCUUAUACACUUCAGGUUUUGAUGAUGGUCCCGUUUGUUAAGUGGCACUACCGGAGCUUGUUUACACACGCGCGAUUGGAGAUUCUUUAAAAUCUGCGAAAGAAUUGCGUCUGCAUUUUAUAGAAAUCACAUUCACUUAUAUUUAUGCAUUUGUAUAUGUGCUUAUGUAUGCAUGGAGGUACAUAUGUAUUUGUGACAAAUGGAAAGUGAAAAUUUAUUGUAUCCGAAAUUGCACCAAAUCACAUAAAAAACAUUAAUCUGCAUUUUCACUCAAUGAAACUCACUUCCACAACAACAAUGGAGGUUUAUCCGCAUACUCGUUGGAUUUAAUGAUGAUUUUGCAUACACACAAAUAGCUAUACGUAUAUGUACGUAUUCCUGAAUAUACAUACAUAUGUACAUAUUACAGUGACUAGCGGAAAAGUUCAUUCAAUCAUAGAGAGAAAACCCGGAAGAGCGGAAUGAAACUUGCGUACUCAAUUCUCUAAACGAAGUGAAGGACUAGUUUUAUUGUUAAACCUACACAGCAAUCGCCCUCGACAGGUAAUGGUAAACCUCGGGAGUGUAUUUCUGCAUUGAAAAAGCCAUUUGCCAUCCGGAGACGCCGUAAAAUUGUACAAUACCAAUUGGAGCAGAAGCUCGGCCAAAGACUUGGGUGAAAGGGUUACCCCAAAUAUUUUUUAAAUAGAACAAAAUUAAUAAAAUAUCUUUUUCGUUUGCUUUUAAAUGAAAUUUUACUUACAUUAACAAGAAAGGAAACUGCCUUGAUCGAACUCUGGACAUACUAUCCGCUCUACUACACUAUUCUAUGUGGCAACAUGAGGAAAUUUUUACAAGAAAUUGAGAAGAUAUGUGGAUAUACGCUUUUACAAAUAAAAAAA